rnacentral:misc_RNA from 1 species
AACCUAGCACACCUGCGGUGUGUACCUGCGGAGGGAUCAUUAAAAAAAUCCUUUUUGCCCGCGGACUUUGCUCCAAGGCGCAAAAAACCCACACUGUGUGCACCGUUAUCGUUUCUUUGGCAGGGGCUUGGGGUGGUUUUUUCCGCCUCAACUUCUCCUCCGGCUCUAUCUCUUUUUUUGGGACAGCUGGACAUGGGAAGCAGUUACCCUGCCAAGUAACCCUUUAAAUCACGCUUUAUU